rnacentral:sRNA from 1 species
GUGAUUUUACAUUAAUCCCCGUGUACCGGGGUAAGAUGAUCGCAGGAGGGUCA